rnacentral:sRNA from 2 species
CACCAAGUCAUUGGGGAGUAGCCUGUCUUAAAAUAAAAAAAUCUUAUUUUAAGAAAUCUGUAUCAACAUACUCGCUUAUUUUUAUCUAGCGUGGUACAGAUGCCGUAAUACGGU